UACGGAGGGUGCGAGCGUUGUCCGGAAUCAUUGGGCGUAAAGGGCGCGUAGGUGGCCCGGUCAGUUCGUGGUGAAAGCGCGGGGCUCAACUGUGGGCGUGCGGGCGAUACGGGCAGACUGGAGUACUGCAGGGGAGACUGGAAUUCCUGGUGUGCGGUGGAAUGCGCAGAGUAUCAGGAGGAACACCAAUGGCGAAGGCAGCUCGCUGGGACGUUACUGACGCUGAGACGCGAAAGCGUGGGGAGCAAACAGG
rnacentral:rRNA from 1 species